UACGUAGGGCGCAAGCGUUUAUCCGGAAUUAUUGGGCGUAAAGAGCUCGUAGGCGGUUUGUCGCGUCUGCCGUGAAAGUCCGGGGCUCAACUCCGGAUCUGCGGUGGGUACGGGCAGACUAGAGUGAUGUGGGGGAGACUGGAAUUCCUGGUGUAGGCGGUGAAAUGCGCAGAUAUCAGGAGGAACACCGGUGGCGAAGGCGGCCCGCUGGGCAGGAAGACACCGCAAGGGUGUCGGCUGACGCUGAGGCGCGACAGCGUGGGGAGCAAACAGG
rnacentral:rRNA from 1 species